rnacentral:ncRNA from 11 species
GCAGUACAAAUGGAGUAGGCAGGGCUGGGACCCCAGUUUUGAGCAUGCGGGCCUGGUGCCAGGGUGCCAUUAGCACCAUUAUAAAUCUGGUACCUUG